rnacentral:rRNA from 1 species
AUUCAAUUAAUUAAAACUUUCAACAACGGAUCUCUUGGUUCUGGCAUCGAUGAAGAACGCAGCGAAAUGCGAUAAGUAAUGUGAAUUGCAGAUUUCAGUGAAUCAUCGAAUCUUUGAACGCACAUUGCGCCCUCUGGUAUUCCGGAGGGCAUGCCUGU